rnacentral:rRNA from 1 species
UCAAGAUGAGAUUUCCCAUAGCGUAAGCUAGUAAGAUCCCUGAAAGAUGAUCAGGUUGAUAGGUCUGAGGUGGAAGCGCGGUGACGUGUGGAGCUGACAGAUACUAAUCGAUCGAGGACUUAACCUAUU